rnacentral:rRNA from 1 species
CGCAUCUGUGCAUGCAGCAUAUCAAUAAGCGGAGGAAAAGAAACUAACAAGGAUUCCCCUAGUAACGGCGAGUGAAGCGGGAAGAGCUCAAAUUUGAAAUCUUAAAGGGUUUCCCUUUACGAAUUGUAGUUUAAAGAAGUGUUUUCUGUUGAGGUUUUGGUAAAAGUUCUUUGGAAUAGGACAUCAUAGAGGGUGAGAAUCCCGUAUUUGACCUUUACUUUCAACUUUGUGAUACACUUUCAAAGAGUCGGAUUGUUUGGGAAUGCAGUCCAAAAUGGGUGGUAAAUUUCAUCUAAAGCUAAAUAUUGGCGAGAGACCGAUAGCGAACAAGUACCGUGAGGGAAGGAUGAAAAGAACUUUGAAAAGAGAGUUAAACAGUACGUGAAAUUGUCAAAAGGGAAGCGUUUGACACCAGUGUUGUCUUUCUGAAAAUCAAUUAAAGAACUGUUUAUGCUAAGCUGUUUAGACUUUAUCAGCUAAUCUGUUUAGUUUUGAGCUUUUCUUUAAUGCACUUUUCAGUUAACAAGUCAACAUCAAUUUCUUUUGCUGUAAAAAAGCUUGAGGAAGGUGGCUUGAGAUUCGUCUUAAGUGUUUAUAGCCUCUUGCCUAUGCAGUCGGAGAGAUUGAGGUCUGCAGCGUAGAUCCUUCGGGGCUAAAUGCAUUUGUGCUAAGUUAUAGCAUUUUAUAGACAACUUGUUGACUAUGAUUUGUCUUGUAGCUUACUCGCUUAUGUUAUUUUACCUACGCUUAGGAUGUUGAAUCUGUGCGAGACUAC